GCUUAACAGAUAGAGAAGAUAGUUGUGCUUUAGCUAACUGGUAGGCACAUUUCAUCGGCAAAUAGUACCCUGUCAAUUUUCUAGUGAAAGCCUUUCAGAAAACAGCCUGAAACAGAUUUAGUUUAACCAGGGUAGAACUGUCUGCUUCCUACACAAUGUGGGUGGAGUUCUCUCCCUUCCCCUAAAAUGACGGCGACGCCUUUAUUUGUUGAUUAAGUUUUAUAUAUAUAUGUAUAUAUAAUAUAUAUACACACACACACAUACAUAUCCUUCUAUAAUCUGCAACCCCACAUGGUUUAAAAGGGUGUUGAUAUUUACCGGCAGGGUCGGGGGCAUUUUUUUUUCCGUAAAUCAUUCCAUCUCAGGACUAUUUUCCUUAAUCCUCUGCAUUGGCGAAUAUUGACAAUGGACAGAAACAUCUCUCGUUCAACAACCUUCUUGUAAAUUGAUCUUUGAAGAAAGACAAAAGAAUCGACCAAACCUGCCAAGAAUAUAUAUAUAUAUAUA
rnacentral:misc_RNA from 1 species